AUUAGAGUUUGAUAGUGGCUCAGAUUGAACGCUGGCGGCAGGCCUAACACAUGCAAGUCGAACGGUAACAGGAAGCAGCUUGCUGCUUCGCUGACGAGUGGCGGACGGGUGAGUAAUGUCUGGGAAACUGCCUGAUGGAGGGGGAUAACUACUGGAAACGGUAGCUAAUACCGCAUAACGUCGCAAGACCAAAGAGGGGGACCUUAGGGCCUCUUGCCAUCGGAUGUGCCCAGAUGGGAUUAGCUAGUAGGUGGGGUAACGGCUCACCUAGGCGACGAUCCCUAGCUGGUCUGAGAGGAUGACCAGCCACACUGGAACUGAGACACGGUCCAGACUCCUACGGGAGGCAGCAGUGGGGAAUAUUGCACAAUGGGCGCAAGCCUGAUGCAGCCAUGCCGCGUGUAUGAAGAAGGCCUUCGGGUUGUAAAGUACUUUCAGCGGGGAGGAAGGGAGUAAAGUUAAUACCUUUGCUCAUUGACGUUACCCGCAGAAGAAGCACCGGCUAACUCCGUGCCAGCAGCCGCGGUAAUACGGAGGGUGCAAGCGUUAAUCGGAAUUACUGGGCGUAAAGCGCACGCAGGCGGUUUGUUAAGUCAGAUGUGAAAUCCCCGGGCUCAACCUGGGAACUGCAUCUGAUACUGGCAAGCUUGAGUCUCGUAGAGGGGGGUAGAAUUCCAGGUGUAGCGGUGAAAUGCGUAGAGAUCUGGAGGAAUACCGGUGGCGAAGGCGGCCCCCUGGACGAAGACUGACGCUCAGGUGCGAAAGCGUGGGGAGCAAACAGGAUUAGAUACCCUGGUAGUCCACGCCGUAAACGAUGUCGACUUGGAGGUUGUGCCCUUGAGGCGUGGCUUCCGGAGCUAACGCGUUAAGUCGACCGCCUGGGGAGUACGGCCGCAAGGUUAAAACUCAAAUGAAUUGACGGGGGCCCGCACAAGCGGUGGAGCAUGUGGUUUAAUUCGAUGCAACGCGAAGAACCUUACCUGGUCUUGACAUCCACGGAAGUUUUCAGAGAUGAGAAUGUGCCUUCGGGAACCGUGAGACAGGUGCUGCAUGGCUGUCGUCAGCUCGUGUUGUGAAAUGUUGGGUUAAGUCCCGCAACGAGCGCAACCCUUAUCCUUUGUUGCCAGCGGUCCGGCCGGGAACUCAAAGGAGACUGCCAGUGAUAAACUGGAGGAAGGUGGGGAUGACGUCAAGUCAUCAUGGCCCUUACGACCAGGGCUACACACGUGCUACAAUGGCGCAUACAAAGAGAAGCGACCUCGCGAGAGCAAGCGGACCUCAUAAAGUGCGUCGUAGUCCGGAUUGGAGUCUGCAACUCGACUCCAUGAAGUCGGAAUCGCUAGUAAUCGUGGAUCAGAAUGCCACGGUGAAUACGUUCCCGGGCCUUGUACACACCGCCCGUCACACCAUGGGAGUGGGUUGCAAAAGAAGUAGGUAGCUUAACCUUCGGGAGGGCGCUUACCACUUUGUGAUUCAUGACUGGGGUGAAGUCGUAACAAGGUAACCGUAGGGGAACCUGCGGUUGGAUCACCUCCUUUUUGAAU
rnacentral:rRNA from 1 species